rfam:Anolis carolinensis unplaced genomic scaffold chrTn0353, whole genome shotgun sequence.
CCAGCACUCCCUGGUAGGCCAAGGUGUCCUACAGAAAAGCCUUGGGUCCCAUCCGCCAGGGGGUCUGG